ACGUCGCGUACUUACCGGGGAUAGCCUUUUCGAAAGAAAGAUUAAUACCCGAUGGUAUAAAGAGUUCGCAUGUUCUCUUUAUUAAAGAAUUUCGGUAAGCGAUGGGGAUGCGUUCCAUUAGAUAGUUGGCGGGGUAACGGCCCACCAAGUCUACGAUGGAUAGGGGUUCUGAGAGGAAGGUCCCCCACAUUGGAACUGAGACACGGUCCAAACUCCUACGGGAGGCAGCAGUGAGGAAUAUUGGUCAAUGGACGAGAGUCUGAACCAGCCAAGUAGCCGUGAAGGAUGACUGCCCUAUGGGUUGUAAACUUCUUUUAUAAGGGAAUAAAGUGAGGGACGUGUCCCUUUUUGUAUGUACCUUGAGAAUAAGGAUCGGCUAACUCCGUGCCAGCAGCUGC
rnacentral:rRNA from 1 species